CGUAUUAGGUUUCUAAAAGUUGCUGUGCAUUUUCCUUCUUUCAUUUUCAUUACCAUCCAAAUCCCUAACAAGUCGCCGCCGCCGCGGAUACACACAUUCAUCCAUCCCCUCAACCCACACCACCACCCACCUUCAAAACUACCCACCACCACCAUAUUCAAAUUGUUUUAUUACUCACAACCAGUCAAUAAUCCUAAAGAGACACGAUUCUCAUUCACUCAUCUUGUUCAAGAUUUACUUUUUCUUUCUUGUUGUUUCGAAGAAUAGUGUAUUCUUAUUGUUUUGGAGUUUUCUAAAUUAGAGUUUUCUCUAUUUAUCCGUUCUUGUAAGUUUUGUUUGCAUCCUUCUAAUUAUUUUCUUAUUUUUGGAUUUUAUUUCAGGUUACCGACAGAUCCAUCUUCGUGUUACAAGCAAAUGUACGAGCUAUGGUUAAAGAUGGAGCAAGGACUAAAUCGUAGGCGAGGAAUGACAUGAGGAUGAAGCUAUAAUAUUUUUGAAUCGUAGUACAUGAAAGGUUGUAGGUUCAAUUCAUAAUUUGAUAUCAUACAUGGUCUUGCUUAUGGUAGGUAUUGUUUCAUGUAAAACACAUACGAGAAGCAAAUAGAGAUGUUCAGUGAAAUGGUUUAUGAAAAACUGAGAUAUUCAAUCACAAUUUCAACUCUAAAAAAUUUGAUCAACAAUAAUACUGGAACAUGAAUUUCAUAGGCAUUCUGGAAUUGAAGAAAAUGGUCUGUUGUGUCUCAACGAGUAGUCGAAGUACUUGUAGCAGCAAGAGAAACAGAGAUAUGAUCACUCCAUCUUGCGUCCCCCGAUCUUUCCAAUCUUAAAAGGAGGAUUAAAGAUUGUCCGCGUUCUUUCCAAUUUUAAGUCAUUGAGGCAAGAUGAGGCGACAAGGAAGAAAUAUGUUGAACAUAUUAAGAAUGAGAUACGAUCAUGCUAUGCCUAUAAUGAGUUUCUAAUCGGUACUUUAGUGGAGGUUGAAAUAAUUAUAUUAUUACUACCUCUCUUUUGAACUUUAAUUCCAUUGAGCACUCUGUCCAAUUUUUAUCAGUUAACUCUCUAUACAGGUCUCUGGAAAAUAGAGUUUUGUUUUGUUGACUUUUAGUUAGGGAUUCAUCAAAACUGAUUCUCAAGUACCAAUUGGUGUCACUCCAUAGUAUAUGGUUGGUUUUUACAUGAGUGGUUCCUGUUCCACUGAAUUUCUCCAUAAUGUGCAAAAGUUUGCUUCUUGGGGCAAUAGGAUGUGGAUCUCAGAUUUUGGGGUAUAUUAGUAUUAAUUAUAGUUCUCCAACACUUGUUAAGGAUGGAAAAGUUAGCUAUAAAUAGUAGAAGUAGCAAUGCUAAGGUAAUGGGAAGCAUAAUAUCAAUAGCAGGUGCUUUUGUCUUGACUUUCUACAAAGGAAAAUCCAUCUUGAAUUCCUCAUCACUUCAUCAAUCAAAUGAAUUUCUCAAGUCAGGGGAUUCAAGUUGGGCCAUUGCUUGCAUUAUGCUAAUAGUGGACUAUUUUCUGGUUUCUCUAUGAUACAUUUUACAGGUACAUAUGAAGGAGUUCCCAGAUGAACUAAGUUUAGUCUUGUUAUACUCCAUUAGUGCAACCAUAAUAUCAACAUUUGUAGCUUUGUUAUCAGUUCCAAAUGCAAGUGCUUGGAAAAUAGGACUAAAUCUCUCACUCAUCUCCAUUGUUUCCUCUGUAAGUUGUACUGCAAAUAGGAUUAAAGGAUUGAGCAUCGCAUUUGAAACUGCUCUUUACUGCAAACAAGUUCUUUAGCUUGUUCUUUUUGUUUAACUUAUAUUUAUAUGUAUUUUUUUAGAUUGAAGAAAAAGAGUCUCCAUUGGUUCUAUAUUGAUGAGUAAUUCAAUUGUAAAUUAAUUAA